rnacentral:rRNA from 1 species
UACGUAGGGUGCAAGCGUUAAUCGGAAUUACUGGGCGUAAAGCGUGCGCAGGCUGUUUUGUAAGUCAGAUGUGAAAUCCCUGAGCUCAACUUAGGAACUGCGUUUGAAACUACAAGACUAGAAUAUGUCAGAGGGGGGUAGAAUUCCACGUGUAGCAGUGAAAUGCGUAGAGAUGUGGAGGAAUACCAAUGGCGAAGGCAGCCCCCUGGGAUAAUAUUGACGCUCAUGCACGAAAGCGUGGGGAGCAAACAGG